GGAUACGAAUCCACAUGGGAUCCUGGUGCAUACAAGUUCUCCACGCUGAAAUCCAAGUCCCUAAUGCCCUGACAGGCACCAAGUAAGACGGAGAAGACAGCUCUGGGAAUGACACACAGACUUUACGGGACCGGAAGCAUCACCUCCACUUCCUUCCUCUUGCCCCAGACUAGGUCAAGUCCAGGACGCUCUUAAGGUCAAAGGCAAGUGGUUCCUCAAGGAUUGCAGGAAAUGUAAAUGUGGAGAGGACAGACUAAUAGAAUGCUUGACCCAAGUCGCAGUUAAACACAGCUGAGGGUGAAAGACAGAGGUCAGGGCGGGGAGAUCCGGGGUUGGAAGGGGCCCAAGCAGCUGCCGACAGCGGACCCUGGUGUAGAAUGGGCCGAGGGGGUUGGUCGCAGCUCACGGAGAAGGCACUGCCAAGCUUGUCAUCUUGAUUGCAUUAAACAACGGUGUCCUCCAGCGCCUUCCUUUCCGGAUUGCAUGCUUGGCAGACAGUUUCCUGAUUAUAAUGUGGCUUGGCAUCUAGAGCAGUACGUGAGUUUUAUGGGUUUGGUGUCACAAACUUGCCUGGAGAGGUGGAGUUCCUCUUGGAUGAAUGACCCAAAACUGAGCCUACAAAGCCAGGGGCUGCACACUGGACCGUGAUCACAACUUGUGAACCCCUUGCCUUCGCCUGACUCCAUCCCUCUGCAUCUCCACCUGGUUUGGAGUUAACCAGAGGCAAGUUUCUUAACGUCUUUAUGUCUCAGUUUACUCAUCUGUAAAUUGAGACUAAAGUUAAUUCAUUGUAGGAGUCAAUGAAUUAAUAGGUUAUCUACUGUCAAUAUUCAAAUCUCCACAAGCCUGGCUUUGAUCUUGAACAAGUAACUUUAUUUUUGUUCUCUGAUUUCCUUUUCUGUAAUGUGGAGUUAAUGACAACUGUUGUAAAAAAAGAAAGUGUGAUACAUGUAGGGUGUCAGAGUUGUUAAAAUUUCUCUAAGUUGCAAAAUUUUGCACAGUGUAUUUUUAUCAUUUGUUGUAAACAGUUUUUGCUGUCACUGGGUCCAUCGUGAUCACAGUGCAGAGAUUCUAAUAUCGCU